rnacentral:lncRNA from 1 species
ACUGGUAUGGGCUAAACCAGAUUGCUAAGCAACCUAAUUCAAGAUCUAAUCUUUCAAAUUGGCCAGGUAAGUGGAGAUAGAUGGGGGUCCCUCCGUUGCCUUCCUAAGACACCAAUAAAUUGGUCAAGUUAGGUAACAAAACUAAUUAAAUAAUUACAUCUUAUUAACUUAUCUUAAACAUUAAUAGGUCGAUUGAUCAGAAUUGGUUAGCUCAAGCGAAUCAGGCUCAAACUAAUGAGCCAAAUUAGGUCCUUAGGUUAAUUGAUUCUACAUAUGGGAUUCAAUCGAUUUGAUCAACAAUAAUUGUAUGAUCAUUAACUUAAUUGAUCUACUCUUUAUCAACAC